rnacentral:rRNA from 1 species
ACCUGGCUUACGCCGGUCUAAACUCAGAUCAUGUAAAAAUUCAAAGGUCGAACAGACCUAAUUUAUCAGCUUCUGCGCCAAAAAUUAAUUUUAAUCCAACAUCGAGGUCGCAAUCUUCUUUUUCGAUUUGAGCUCUAAAAAAAAAUAACGCUGUUAUCCCUAAGGUAAUUUUAUCUUUUAAUCUUCAAUUAAGGAUCAACUAAUCACAUAUAAGUGUGUACAUAAAAGAAAAGUUUAGUGCAUUUUCCAAUCACCCCAACUAAACACGUGCCCAAGAAAAACUAAUCUGUUACUAAUCUUAGUUAAACAAAGACAAAUGUAAAACUCUAUAGGGUCUUCUCGUCUUCAAUAACAAUUUAAGCUUUUUAACUUAAAAAUAAAUUUCAAAUAAAUUUUAACAGAGACAGAAAUUUUCUCAUCAAACCUUUCAUACAAGCUUUCAAUUAAAAAACUAGUGAUUAUGCUACCUUUGCACGGUCAAGAUACCGCGGCCAUUAAAUUUAAUCAUUGGGCAGGCC